CCUACGGGAGGCAGCAGUGAGGAAUAUUGGUCAAUGGGCGAGAGCCUGAACCAGCCAAGUAGCGUGAAGGAUGACUGCCCUAUGGGUUGUAAACUUCUUUUAUAAAGGAAUAAAGUCGGGUAUGCAUACCCGUUUGCAUGUACUUUAUGAAUAAGGAUCGGCUAACUCCGUGCCAGCAGCCGCGGUAAUACGGAGGAUCCGAGCGUUAUCCGGAUUUAUUGGGUUUAAAGGGUGCGUAGGUGGUGAUUUAAGUCAGCGGUGAAAGUUUGUGGCUCAACCAUAAAAUUGCCGUUGAAACUGGGUUACUUGAGUGUGUUUGAGGUAGGCGGAAUGCGUGGUGUAGCGGUGAAAUGCAUAGAUAUCACGCAGAACUCCGAUUGCGAAGGCAGCCUGCUAAGCUGCAACUGACAUUGAGGCUCGAAAG
rnacentral:rRNA from 1 species